rnacentral:lncRNA from 1 species
UGUUCUCCUUGUGGCUGCAGCAGCCGCACUAAGACACUGGCCACACCUGGUUUCUCCACAGCCGCUGCAGCCACGAGGAGAAGGCCACCCUCUCGCGUUCAAACACAGGUGCACCCACCGUGGAACCACAGCCACAGUGGAGCUGUGGAAUGUGCCCGUCACCCACAGCCCGCCUCUGAGUCACUGCCGUCACCCACAGCCCUGCCCCGACCCACAGCCUGCGUCUCAGUCACUGCCCAUCACCCACAGCCCUGCAUCUCAGUCACUGCCCGUCACCCACAGCCCUGCCUCUCAGUCCCUGCCGUCACCCACAGCCCUGCCUCUCAGUCACUGCCCGUCACCCACAGCCCUGCCUCUCAGUCACUGCCCGUCACCCACAGCCCUGCCUCUCAGUCACUGCCCGUCACCCACAGCCCUGCCUCUCAGUCCCUGCCGUCACCCACAGCCCUGCCUCUCAGUCACUGCCCGUCACCCACAGCCCUGCCUCUCAGUCCCUGCCGUCACCCUGGCUGCUCCUGGAGUUGCACAGAAAUGGAAUUGUGUGCUUGGAUGCCUCCGUGCCCAGCCCCUGUCCCUCCGCGAUUCCUCCUUGCUGCUUUGCGGAGCAGUUGUUGGCCGCUCACAGCUGGGCAGGGCCCGUCCUGGCAACAGACCCCUCCUGCUGCGGUGGUUCCCUCGGUGGUGGACGGGGCUGUCGGCACAUUUUAGCUGUCACCAAUAAAGCUGCUGUGAACAUCCCUGUACACGUCGUUGUGUGGAAUGAGUUUGGUGUGUCUUAGGGAACUCCUUGGGAGUGGAAUGCCUGAGUCACCAGGGCUUCUCUCUGUCGCCCAGGCUGGAGUACAGGGAUGCGAUCUUGACUCACUGCAGCCUCAACCUCCUGGACUCAAGCCAUUCUCCCCCCUCAGCCUCCCCAGUAGCUGGGACUACAGGCGCCCACCACCACGCCCGGCUAAUUUUGUAUUUUUUGUAGAGACUGGGGUUUCUCCACCUCAUCCAGACUGGUCUUAAACUCCUGGGCUCAAGCAAUCCACCCACCUCAGCCUCCCACCGUGCUGAGAUUAUAGGCAUGAGCCACCGCGCCUGGCCUAUUUUCUUAGAUUUAUCCCUAAGUAAUACAUUUUCUUUGAUGCUAUUGUAAGGCCUUUCUUUGAUGCUACAAUAAGUCCUUUUAAAUUUCUCAUUUUCCAGUUAUUCACUUUCACUGCCAGAAUAUGCGAUGGGCUCUCGGGUAUGCAGUGUGCCAGUCAGCCCCACCCUGACACAGCGGAGCAGAGAGAGACGGUCCUGACGGAGCAGGCCAGGGAUCAGCACCGCCCACUGGGCCUCUGACCCCUCUGACCCAUGACCUCCAAGCCCUGCGGUCAGUCUGUGCCCAGGCCCAGUCUGUGCUGGAGCCCUCCCUGCAGCCCCCUCUGGCAGGACUUCAGAGGGAUCCCCAGCUCCUGGCCCACAUGGCCGCAUCUGGCCCAAACACACAUUCCUUUCGCCACUCUCCUCUGAAUGGAAUCUGGCUUGCCCCGCACAGCCUCUGCCUCCCUCUGCCCCGCACAGCACCCUCCCUCCCUCUGCCCCGCAUAGACCCUCCCUCCCUCUGCCCCGCACAGCCCCCCUCCCUCCCUCUGCCCCGCACAGCCCCCCUCCCUCCCUCUGCCCCGCACAGCCCCCCUCCCUCCCUCUGCCCCGCAUAGACCCUGCCUCCCUCUGCCCUGCACAGCCCCCUCCCUCCCUCUGCCCUGCACAGCCCCUCCCUCCCUCCACCUCACACAGGCCCCCUCCCUCCCUCUGCCCCACGCAGACCGCCUGCCUCCCUCUGCCCCGCACAGGGAUCCUGCAGGUUCAGGGUGGAGUGGCCUAGCCCAAGCCCUCAGCCUUUCCUUGUGAGUCUGGGUGACUUCUGAAGGGGCUGAGAACCGCUUAGUGGUCUGGACCCUCCCUUGGGGGCUUAUGAGCCAUCACACCUCGGUCCUGCCAUGGAGACCUCCGGCUGACAUCUCCUCAGAGCCUCCCUGGUGUCCAGAGCCCCAGCAGGCAGUGCUAAGCCGGCCACACUGAAGGCCAGGAGGCAGCGCACGGGGACGCUGGAGGAGCACCUGGUGAGCUGGGAGGCGAGGCCCUGGGACGGGACAAGUAGCAGACGUCUCAGCGCACACAGGCUCCUGCCGGACCCGGAGGGGCUCUCUGUUCCAUGUGGUCCUCCAGGGAUUCGGGCUCCUUGGCCCUGAGGGCUCUGCCCACCUAGCACCUUGGGGCUGUUCCUUGAACCCCCUGCCCCCUAGGGUGGGGACAGGAAUACGUAUUACUUAGGGAUAAAUCUAAGAAAAUAGGCCAGGCGUGGUGGCUCACACCUGUAAUCCCAGCACUUUGGGAGGUCGAGGUGGGUGGAUUGCCUGAGCCCAAGAGUUUAAGACUGGCCUGGGCAACAUGGUGAAACUCCCGUGUAGACCGUCUCUACAAAAAGUACAAAAAUUAGCAGCUGGGCGUGGUGGGAGCUGGGCCGAGGGUCAGGCCUGGAGGUGGUGCCCAUCACUGGGUCCCGCUCAAGAGAGAAGAGGCUGGGAAGCCAGGUGCAGCUGUGUGCCCACAGGCGGGUGAGACAGGACUGGGCCUGGAUCCCGCACCCGCUCGCCGCGCAGCUCAGCGCAAGCGGCCUCCGGGGGCCUCCUCUCUGCAAGGGGAGCGCGCGCCCGGCCCUGACCCUGCCUGCUGAUUCUCUGGAAGGUUCAUGUCCGGGACUCCUCGGUGACCCUGGGCAGAGCCACCCACAUGCGCUGCCUCCCCUCCCACCGCCUGACAGGUCUGGAGAUGCCCAGAGACUUCUGGCAUCCACCAGCAGCGAGGAGCGUCCCUCCCGCAAGGCUUGGCCUUUCCCCUCCAGCUUUGGCACAGGACGCGUUGGUCUGCCGUUUCUUUUGUGCACAACCAUCAGUCAUGAUGUCAGCCCUGAGCUGGGGCCACAGAACCCUGAGCAAAGUGGGACAUAAUGGAAAGCAAACAAAAAAGAAAGAAAAUGAUGGUUUCAAACUAAAAACCUGAGUUCACAUAGCGAUAGAUUUAAAACUAUUUUAGAAAACACUCAUUAUCUCCCUGGCCUAUUUUUUAUUAAAUUGACCAAAUCUGUGGAUACUCAAUUGCUUGUGAUGACUGCAAGCGCGCAUCCGAGUCCCCAGGGAGGCAGCUUCCCUUCGCUCUUCGCCAGCGCCCCUCAGUCCUAACUUUGAGGAGGGCACACGUGAGAUUUCCUUUUACCAACAGAGAAUCUCCAAAUCCAGCCUUUUACCAGAAGCCUCUCCGAGAAACUGGGGUGAGUAAAUCGCCGCUGCUGCUGCCACCUUCAGAGAGGCCUUGGGCGCCCGCCCCGACAGCCCCAC